rnacentral:rRNA from 1 species
AUUGAACGCUGGCGGUAGGCCUAACACAUGCAAGUCGAACGGCAGCACAGUAAGAGCUUGCUCUUACCGGUGGCGAGUGGCGGGCGGGUGAGGAAUACAUCGGAAUCUACUUUUUCGUGGGGGAUAACGUAGGGACACUAACGCUAAUACCGCAUACGACCUACGGGUGAGAGCAGGGGAUCUUGGGCCCUUGCGCGAUGGAGUGAGCCGAUGUCGGAUUAGCUAGUUGGCGGGGUAAAGGCACACCAAGGCGACGAUCCGUAGCUGGUCUGAGAGGAUGAUCAGCCACACUGGAACUGAGACACGGUCCAGACUCCUACGGGAGGCAGCAGUGGGGAAUAUUGGACAAUGGGCGCAAGCCUGAUCCAGCCAUACCGCGUGGGUGAAGAAGGCCUUCGGGUUGUAAAGCACUUUUGUUGGGAAAGAAAAGCAGCAGGUUAAUACCCUGCUGUUCUGACGGUACCCAAAGAAUAAGCACCGGCUAACUUCGUG